UACGUAGGCAGCGAGCGUUGUUCGGAUUUACUGGGCGUAAAGCGUGCGUAGGCGGUGGUCCAAGUCUGGUGUGAAAUCUCCCGGCUUAACUGGGAGGGUGCGCCGGAAACUGGGCCGCUGGAGUACGGGAGAGGCAAGCGGAAUUCCAGGUGUAGCGGUGAAAUGCGUAGAUAUCUGGAGGAACACCCGUGGUGCAGACGGCUUGCUGGACCGUGACUGACGCUGAGGCACGAAAGCGUGGGUAGCAAACAGG
rnacentral:rRNA from 1 species